UCCAAUAUGGCAGAAAAUUGCAUUAAGUUUAAGACUUAAUUAUUCUCUACCUCAAUUCAUU
rnacentral:tRNA from 1 species